GGGAACCAUAAGUUCCUCUUGCUUUUUGCAUCAAUUCCGGCUCCUCGUGGUUCACUCAGGAGUUUCCCCGGUGAUGUGAGCAUCCUCUAGUCCAUUUCCUGAUGGAGUCCGAUGGAGUCCCUGUUCCUGUCUGAAAUUGGUGAGCCUGGCUUUCAUUGUCUGCAACCCCACUGGCAUUCGGGCACCCCUGGAAUCACUCAACAUUCAGACACUGGAAGAAGAAAAGUGAAGAGGGAGGCAGCGAAAGCUAACAAACGCCAUCCAUCCAUCCAUCCAUCCAACUAUCCAUCCGUCCAUCCACCUGUGUGAGACAUUGCUGGAUCUCUCUCCUGUGUCCUGGACCAUCCACGGGCUCUCUGCUUCCAUGCUCAGUGUUCUAAUCUGGUUCACGCCUCAAACUCUAACCUCAUCUCUCUAUCGCUGACAGCCUGGUUCCUUUUUUUCUUGGCAAAGACUUUGACCUGUACAUAAACUGCACGAGGCAUCUCAUACCGGAAACGCUUUACUGCUGUCUGAAGUUCAUGCCCUCCAAGUCAGGGCUUUCAUCUCCCUGGCCUUGCUGAAGUCACUCCUAGCACAACAGUUCUCUGAACUCAGUAGGGCUCUGUGGCCCUCAGCCCUCUUCAGGAAGCUUAUCAGUCACUCUGGCCUUCCCUGCCACGCUGCCUAGACUGUGUCACAAGGACACACCACUUCCGCCACAGCUUGCCAUUGCUCCCUUUCCACCUCCGUUCCAUUAUCACUUUAUCUAUUUGUGUGUGUGUGUGUGUGUGUGUGUGUGUGUGUGUGUGUGUGUGUGUGUGUGUGUGGUGAGAGCACAACUCAGAGCUCAGAGUACAGUUUUCUCUUUCAAACAUGGGUUCAGGGAGUGGACCCAGGCUCUCAGGUUUCUCCGAAAGCCUUUUCUUUCUGAAUCAUCCUACGGGUUCUCCUGUUGCACAUCAUCUCUAGCUCUAUGGUGACUACCACAAACACAGUGUGUUGGCUUUUUGUCAUAGGCUCCGCCCUACAGUUACCUGACCCUGCUUGCCCCUCCCACUCUCAUCUCUUCUCUUGCUCUCUUACCCCCUUUCCCCUCAGUCUCUUCUCUUCUCCCUUCCCUCCUCUCCCCUCUCUCCACGUGCUCAGGCCAGCCUCUAAUCGUUUUCUCUCUCUGUCUCUCUAUCUGUCUGUCUGUCUCUCUCUGUCUCUACUACCCCCUCAACUCCCCUCCCCCUGUCCUAAAUAAACUCUAUUCUAUAUUAUGCCAUAGUGUGGCUGCUACCCCAGGGGGAAGGGAUGCCUCAGUGUGGGCAGCAAAGAUACCCCUUCCCCCACACCUUAUGGGUCCACCACCAAACAUAUUCUUUUUUCUUUCUUUCUUUCUUUUUCUUUUUCUUUUUUUUUUAUUUUCUUUUUUUUUUUUUUUUUUUCUCUGUAUAGCCCUGGCUGUCCUGGAACUCACUUUGUAGACCAGGCUGGCCUCCAACUCAGAAAUCCACCUGCCUCUGCCUCCCGAGUGCUGGAAUUAAAGACGUGCACCACCACAGCCCGGCUUCUUUUUCCUUUUUAUAAAACACAGCACAGUGUGUGUUAAACAAGAGGACCCUGUGAAACCAACUUUUGCUUAGAGAUCUGGGCACCUUCUCUUCUAAUCUACCACAUAACCUGGGCUAGAGGUUCCCAAACUAUGAGGCACACUAGCGAAAUUUACCCUCUACUUAUUUUUGUAUAAUCCACAAGACAAGAAUUGUUUUGAUAUUUUCUUUUGCUGUUGUUUGUUUGAGACCUGGUUUCACUGUGUAGCCCUGGCUGUCCUGGAGCUCACUGUGUAAAACAGAACCCACAGAGAUCCUCUGUUUCUGCCUCCUGAGUGCUGGGAUUAAAGGUGUGCACUCUCGUGCCUUGCA
rnacentral:lncRNA from 1 species